CUAUGUUGAAAUCAACUCUCUGAUUUUUCAACGACCUUUCCCUGAGUAAAGUGAAGAAUUGCUGUGUGUAGUCUUUGCCCAUCCUAUGAGAUGGGCUUUUUUUUAA
rnacentral:other from 7 species